rnacentral:rRNA from 1 species
ACUCAAUAGAUACCCAGGUAGUCCUGGCCCUAAACGAUGUCUACUAGAUCGUGGCGGCACUGACGCCGUCAUGGUCGAAGCAAAAGUGUUAAGUAGACCGCCUGGGAAGUACGGUCGCAAGGCUAAAACUCAAAGAAAUUGACGGGGGCUCACACAAGCGGUGGAGCAUGUGGUUCAAUUCGAAGCAACGCGAAGAACCUUACCUGGGCUUGACAUGCUAGGAUUAUCUUGAUGAAAGUCGAGUAGGCCCCGCAAGGGGUACAACUAGUACAGGUGCUGCAUGGCUGUCGUCAGCUCGUGUCGUGAGAUGUCGGGUUAAGUCCCUUAACGAGCGAAACCUUUGCCCUUAGUUGCCAUCGGGUUAUGCCGGGCACUCUAAGGGGACUGCCGGUGUCAAACCGGAGGAAGGUGGAGAUGACGUCAAGUCCUCAUGGCCUUUAUGCCCAGGGCUACACACGUGCUACAAUGGCGUCCACAAAGCGAGCCGAGAGCGCAAGCUGGAGGAAAUCGCAGAAAUGACG